UCCCUGGUGGUUCAGUGGUUAGGACUUGGCGCUUUUAUCUGCCAAGGCCCUGGGUUCAAUCCCUGGUUGGGGAA